ACGAACGCUGGCGGCGUGCUUAACACAUGCAAGUCGUACGGUAAGGCCCUUUCGGGGGUCCACGAGUGGCGAACGGGUGAGUAACACGUGAGUAACCUGCCCACAACUUUGGGAUAACGCUAGGAAACUGGUGCUAAUACUGGAUAUGUGCUCCUGCUGCAUGGUGGGGGUUGGAAAGCUCCGGCGGUUGUGGAUGGACUCGCGGCCUAUCAGCUUGUUGGUGGGGUAGUGGCCUACCAAGGCGGCGACGGGUAGCCGGCCUGAGAGGGUGACCGGCCACAUUGGGACUGAGAUACGGCCCAGACUCCUACGGGAGGCAGAAGUGGGGAAUAUUGCACAAUGGGCGCAAGCCUGAUGCAGCAACGCCGCGUGCGGGAGGACGGCCUUCGGGUUGUAAACCGCUUUCAGCAGGGACGAAGCUUUUUGUGACGGUACCUGCAGAAGAAGCACCGGCUAACUACGUG
rnacentral:rRNA from 1 species